AUGGGCGCAAGCCUGAUGGAGCAACACCGCGUGAGUGAAGAAGGGUUUCGGCUCGUAAAACUCUGUUGUUGGAGAAGAACGUGCGUAAGAGUAACUGUUUACGCAGUGACGGUAUCCAACCAGAAAGUCACGGCUAACUACGUGCCAGCAGCCGCGGUAAUACGUAGGUGGCAAGCGUUAUCCGGAUUUAUUGGGCGUAAAGCGAGCGCAGGCGGUCGCUUAGGUCUGAUGUGAAAGCCUUCGGCUUAACCGAAGAAGUGCAUCGGAAACCGGGCGACUUGAGUGCAGAAGAGGACAGUGGAACUCCAUGUGUAGCGGUGGAAUGCGUAGAUAUAUGGAAGAACACCAGUGGCGAAGGCGGCUGUCUGGUCUGCAACUGACGCUGAGGCUCGAAAGCAUGGGUAGCGAACAGGAUUAGAUACCCUGGUAGUCCAUGCCGUAAACGAUGAGUGCUAGGUGUUGGAGGGUUUCCGCCCUUCAGUGCCGAAGCUAACGCAUUAAGCACUCCGCCUGGGGAGUACGACCGCAAGGUUGAAACUCAAAGGAAUUGACGGGGGCCCGCACAAGCGGUGGAGCAUGUGGUUUAAUUCGAAGCUACGCGAAGAACCUUACCAGGUCUUGACAUCUUGCGCCAACCUCAGAGAUGAGGCGUUCC
rnacentral:rRNA from 2 species